rnacentral:rRNA from 1 species
GCAAGUCGAGGGGCAGCAUUUACUUCGGUAAGAUGGCGACCGCCGCACGGGUCCGUCACGCGUAUGCAACCUACCUUAUACAGAGGGAUAGCCCAUGGACACGUGGAUUAAUACCUCAUAGUAUUGUUUAAUCGCAUGAUUUUACAAUUAAAAUUUCGAUGGUAUAAGAUGGGCAUGCGUCUGAUUAGUUAGUUGGUGAGGUAACGGCUCACCAAGACGACGAUCAGUAGGGGUUCUGAGAGGAUGAUC